CCAAUAGCGUAUAUUAAAGUUGUUGCAGUUAAAAAGCUCGUAGUUGAAUUUCGGGGUUUAUACGUUGGUCGGGCUUUUGGGUCUGUACUGGCGUUAUGAAUUCCUACCUUCUGAAUAACCAGCAUGCCAUUAAUUUGGUGCGUCGGGGAAGCAGGACUGUUACCUUGAAAAAAUUAGAGUGCUUAAAGCAGGCUAUUGCCUGAAUACAUUAGCAUGGAAUAAUGAAAUAGGACGGCAUGGUUCUAUUUUGUUGGUUUCUAGGAUCACCGUAAUGAUUAAUAGGGAUAGUUGGGGGCAUUAGUAUUCAAUUGUCAGAGGUGAAAUUCUUGGAUUUAUUGAAGACUAACUUCUGCGAAAGCAUUUGCCAAGGAUGUUUUCAUUAAUCAAGAACGAAAGUUAGGGGAUCGAAGACGAUCAGAUACCGUCGUAGUCUUAACCAUAAACUAUGCCGACUAGGGAUCGGACGAUGUUAAUUUUUUAAUGACUCGUUCGGCGCCUUACG
rnacentral:rRNA from 1 species